rnacentral:sRNA from 12 species
CGCCUAAACUCUAAUUUUUAAUAGGGCAUGGCGGAACAGAAUCCCAGUAUGGAAACGGAAGCUCUCCGUUCAGUCAUCCAUACUGGGUCAUUAUUCGAAAGGAUAGUGGGCGAAAGCC